rnacentral:rRNA from 1 species
AUGAACGCUAGCUACAGGCUUAACACAUGCAAGUCGAGGGGCAGCAUGGUCUUAGCUUGCUAAGGCCGAUGGCGACCGGCGCACGGGUGAGUAACACGUAUCCAACCUGCCGUCUACUCUUGGACAGCCUUCUGAAAGGAAGAUUAAUACAAGAUGGCAUCAUGAGUCCGCAUGUUCACAUGAUUAAAGGUAUUCCGGUAGACGAUGGGGAUGCGUUCCAUUAGAUAGUAGGCGGGGUAACGGCCCACCUAGUCUUCGAUGGAUAGGGGUUCUGAGAGGAAGGUCCCCCACAUUGGAACUGAGACACGGUCCAAACUCCUACGGGAGGCAGCAGUGAGGAAUAUUGGUCAAUGGGCGAGAGCCUGAACCAGCCAAGUAGCGUGAAGGAUGACUGCCCUAUGGGUUGUAAACUUCUUUUAUAAAGGAAUAAAGUCGGGUAUGGAUACCCGUUUGCAUGUACUUUAUGAAUAAGGAUCGGCUAACUCCGUGCCAGCAGCCGCGGUAAUACGGAGGAUCCGAGCGUUAUCCGGAUUUAUUGGGUUUAAAGGGAGCGUAGAUGGAUGUUUAAGUCAGUUGUGAAAGUUUGCCUCAACCGUAAAAUUGCAGUUGAUACUGGAUAUCUUGAGUGCAGUUGAGGCAGGCGGAAUUCGUGGUGUAGCGGUGAAAUGCUUAGAUAUCACGAAGAACUCCGAUUGCGAAGGCAGCCUGCUAAGCUGCAACUGACAUUGAGGCUCGAAAGUGUGGGUAUCAAACAGGAUUAGAUACCCUGGUAGUCCACACGGUAAACGAUGAAUACUCGCUGUUUGCGAUAUACUGCAAGCGGCCAAGCGAAAGCGUUAAGUAUUCCACCUGGGGAGUACGCCGGCAACGGUGAAACUCAAAGGAAUUGACGGGGGCCCGCACAAGCGGAGGAACAUGUGGUUUAAUUCGAUGAUACGCGAGGAACCUUACCCGGGCUUAAAUUGCAGAUGAAUUACGGUGAAAGCCGUAAGCCGCAAGGCAUCUGUGAAGGUGCUGCAUGGUUGUCGUCAGCUCGUGCCGUGAGGUGUCGGCUUAAGUGCCAUAACGAGCGCAACCCUUGUUGUCAGUUACUAACAGGUUCCGCUGAGGACUCUGACAAGACUGCCAUCGUAAGAUGUGAGGAAGGUGGGGAUGACGUCAAAUCAGCACGGCCCUUACGUCCGGGGCUACACACGUGUUACAAUGGGGGGUACAGAGGGCCGCUACCACGCGAGUGGAUGCCAAUCCCCAAAACCUCUCUCAGUUCGGACUGGAGUCUGCAACCCGACUCCACGAAGCUGGAUUCGCUAGUAAUCGCGCAUCAGCCACGGCGCGGUGAAUACGUUCCCGGGCCUUGUACACACCGCCCGUCAAGCCAUGGGAGCCGGGGGUACCUGAAGUGCGUAACCGCGAGGAGCGCCCUAGGGUAAAACUGGUGACUGGGGCU